UGAACAUCUCCCAUCUCCUGCUCAAACUCUCACUGUCAGAUGUCACUUCUACAUUUUGCCUGUAACUGUUGGAGUCAGCCUCUGUGGGAUUGUACUUCCUCUCUCAAUAGUUUUAUUUAUGAAGAGAGAAAGUUUAAGAGGAGGCAAGAGGCAAAAGAGAAAUACAGAUGAAUCUGAUUAUGGGAACGCCAGCCUCAAGCCCUGUCCUACCUGUGACACAUCCACAUCCAGCUCUCCUGUGUAUGAGAUACUGCAGCCUUAAGGAAACAUCAGUAAGAGAAUCAUCACUGAGAAAUCAAACUUGCAGCUGUAUCCCGAUGCAGUCAGAAGAGUGAGAGAUAUAGAGGGGAAGAGAGAUGCAUGAUCACAUGUAGAGUACACAAGUAUUGUUUCCUUCAAAAGAAAAGCUUUUCAGUGUUUUACAUUAAUAAUUAAUGCAAAAAAUGUUGCAGCCU